rnacentral:rRNA from 1 species
UACGGAGGGGGCGAGCGUUGUCCGAAGUUACUGGGCGUAAAGCGCGCGUAGGCGGGUUGGCAAGUCCGCUGUGAAAGCCCGGUGCUUAACGCCGGAGGGUCGGUGGAUACUGCCAGUCUUGAAGGUGCUAGGGGAAGAUGGAAUUACCGGUGUAGCGGUGAAAUGCGCGAUAUCGAGUGAGAACCACGUGGCGAAGGCGGU